GUUGCUAUAAAGAUAAUUGAUAAGACACAGCUGGAUGAAGAGAAUCUGAAGAAGAUAUUUAGAGAAGUUCAGAUCAUGAAGAUGCUCUGCCAUCCACAUAUCAUCAGGUUAUAUCAGGUUAUGGAGACAGAGAGGAUGAUUUAUCUAGUGACAGAGUAUGCUAGCGGAGGGGAAAUAUUUGAUCACCUGGUGGCCCACGGGCGCAUGGCGGAGAAGGAAGCUCGGAGAAAGUUCAAGCAAAUCGUGGCUGCUGUCAACUUCUGUCACUGCCGUAACAUAGUCCACAGAGAUCUCAAAGCAGAAAAUCUUCUUCUGGAUGCUAACCUUAACAUCAAAAUAGCAGACUUUGGGUUCAGUAACAUCUUCACACCCGGCCAGCUGCUAAAAACGUGGUGUGGGAGUCCUCCCUAUGCUGCCCCGGAGCUCUUCGAGGGGAAGGAAUACGAUGGGCCCAAGGUUGACAUUUGGAGUCUCGGCGUGGUGCUGUACGUGUUGGUCUGUGGUGCUCUGCCCUUUGAUGGGAGCACGCUGCAGAAUCUGCGUGCCAGGGUGCUCAGCGGGAAGUUUCGCAUUCCAUUCUUCAUGUCCACAGAAUGUGAACAUCUGAUCCGCCACAUGCUGGUCUUGGACCCGAGUAAGCGGCUCUCGAUGGACCAGAUCUGCAAACACAAGUGGAUGAAGCUUGGGGAAGCCGAUGCAGAGUUUGAUAGGCUGAUAGCAGAGUGUCAGCACCUGAAGACAGAGAGGCAGAUGGAGCCACUGAACGAGGAUGUGUUGUUAGCAAUGGCAGAAAUGGGGCUGGACAAGGAACGCACAAUUCAGUCAUUAAGAGCUGAUGCUUAUGAUCACUACAGUGCAAUCUACAGCUUGCUCUGUGACCGUCUGAAGAGGCACAAGAAUCUGCGCAUUGCCCCGUCUCCAAGCAUACCACGGACAGUCACCUUCCCCACCUCUGCUAACAUCCAGCAGACAGAACAGGCAGGCAAUACCAUGAACAUCAACGUGCCACAAGUCCAGCUCAUCAACCCUGAAAACCAAAUUGUGGAGACUGACGGAACGAUGAACUUGGACAGCGAUGAAGGGGAAGAACCCUCACCUGAGGCUCUGGUCCGUUACCUCUCAAUGCGAAGGCACACGGUCGGAGUUGCUGACCCACGGACGGAGGUCAUGGAAGAUCUGCAGAAGCUCCUGCCUGGCUUCCCUCGUGUCACUCCUCAGGCUCCAUUCCUGCAGGUGACCCCAAAUGUGAACUUCAUGCACAAUGUGCUGCCUAGGCAGAACCUGCAGCCCACGGGUCAGCUGGAGUACAAGGAGCAGUCCCUGCUGCAGCCCCCCACUCUGCAGCUGUUGAAUGGCAUGGGCCCUCUGGGGCGGAGAGCAUCCGACGGUGGAGCUAACAUCCAGUUGCAUGCACAGCAACUGCUGAAAAGGCCUCGAGGUCCAUCUCCACUCGUCACUAUGACUCCAGCCGUCCCAGCUGUCACUCCUGUGGACGAGGAGAGCUCUGAUGGGGAGCCAGAUCAGGAAGCUGUGCAGAGAUACUUGGCAAAUAGGUCAAAAAGGCACACUCUGGCAAUGACCAACCCUACAGCUGAAAUCCCUCCAGACUUGCAGAGGCAGCUAGGACAGCAGUCCUUCCGACCCCGGGCUUGGGCUCCACACCUGGUACCCGAUCAGCACCGUUCUAUUUACAAGGACUCCAAUACUCUGCACCUCCCCACCGAACGCUUCUCCCCGGUUCGGCGUUUCUCUGACGGUGCUGCUAGCAUCCAGGCUUUCAAAGCCCACCUGGAGAAGAUGGGCAAUAACAGUAGCAUCAAACAGCUUCAGCAGGAAUGUGAACAGCUUCAGAAGAUGUAUGGUGGGCACAUGGAUGAGAGGACACUGGAGAAGACACAGCAGCAACACAUGCUGUACCAGCAAGAGCAGCACCAUCAGAUUCUUCAUCAGCAGAUCCAGGACUGUAUCCGGCCACCUCAGCCUUCUCCACCCUUGCAAGCUCAAUGUGAAAACCAGCCAGCUCUGCUCACUCACCAGCUUCAGAGGUUACGGAUUCAGCCAUCCAGCCCGCCCCCAAAUCACCCCAAUAACCACCUCUUCAGGCAACCAAACAGCAGCCCACCUCCUGUGAGCAGCAGCGUGCUGCAGCCCCACGGUGCAGCCUCCCAGUCCCAGUUCCAAGGGAUGCCUUCCCACAACACGAUCUUCCCACAGUCUGGUAACUGUUCCCCUCCCCCAACCAUGGGGCUGACGUGUCUGGCCCUGCAGCAGCAGUCCCAGGCCCAGCAGGUCACCAUCCAAGUGCAGGAACCCGGCGACAUGGUCAGCAACAACCUCCUGCAAGGGGCCUCUGUGGCCGGGCAGGGCACCCACACACGGGGUAUGUCCAUCAGCCCCAGUGCCAACCAGAUCCAGAUGCAGCACCGCGCCAACCUGAUGGCCUCCCUCACCUAUGGCCACAGGCAGCUGUCCAAGCAGCUCAGCGCCGACAGCGCCGAGUCGCACAGUCUGAACGUGUACAGGAAUCCCCCCGCCAACUACGACCAGGUGCACUUACACCCCCACCUGUUCCCAGAGCAGCCUCGUGUUUCCCCCAGUAACUACAGCCCAUCAGGAGGAGUUGGGUUUCCUCCAGCUCAGCAAGCUCUCAAAGUCCCACAGCUUGACCAGUAUCCCAAUUUCCCUCAAAAUGCACAUCAGCAACAACAGCACUACACUGCAUCGGCACUACAGCAAGCACUGUUGUCCCCAACACCUCCUGACUACAGCCGACACCAGCAGGUACCACACAUCCUCCAGGGACUCCUUUCUCCCCGUCACUCUCUCACGGGGCACACGGACAUGCGGCUGCCCCAGGCAGAAUUUGCACAGCUCAUCAAACGACGGCAGCAGCAGCAGCAGCAACAGCAGCAGCAGCAAGAGUUUCAAGAGUUGUUCAGGCACAUGAGUCAAGGGGAUGCUGGAAACAUGGGCACCAGCAUGGGACAGAGCCUGUCGGAGCGUCAGUCGUUGUCUUUGCCUUAUCAGAGUGCUGACACCUAUCAUCCACAGAGCAGCCCCCAGCAUCUCCUAAAAAUCAGGGCUCAAGAAUGUAUCCAGCAGGUACCUGCAUCAGUGCCACCGCAUGGAUACGUACACCAGCCAGCUCUGUUCCACUCGGAGAGCAUGGAGGAGGACUGUGCGUGCGAGGGCGCCAGGGACAGCUUUCCAGACAGUAAGAAUUCAAAUACGUUGACCAAAGGUUGCCACGAGACCCCUCUGCUUGUAAAUGCAGGAGGGCACGGGGACCCAGAAUCUUUGCUAGGAACUGCUAAUCACGUUCAGGAGCUGGGGACGCAUCAAUACAGGCAUCAGCCCGCUGCUGGAUUCAGUAGGAAUAAGGUGCCCAGCAGAGGUAAGGCUCAGGGCCACUCGCAUGGCUGAAAUGCUUUUCCAUACUGGCUGCGUGCUGCUUGUGUUCCUGCCAGAGAACACCAUCCCUACCUAGUACUGCAAUGGUUUCGUGACAUAUUUUGCAUAGCACAGAAUUACCUAGAUUCUUUCUGGCUUCUGUGGCUAUAAAUUGCAGGCAUAGUCUCUCUAAUAAACAGUGUUAAAUAAGAACUCUGCUAGAUUCUUCUCUUCGGAAUGUGACCUACUUCUGUAGGCAGAUAAAGGCCAGGACCACAAUAGUGCUGUCUCUGAAGAGAUGCUGGGAUCUGUUGACUCAUUUCUUCUUGUUGGGGUGAUCCCCCAUCGGGUGUAAGUAAGUGCCCAGCAAAGAUCUUCUUUCUGGAAGCCCUGUAACGUGGCGCAUUCCUUCUCUUAGGGGCAGAACUGUGAGUCCAGGCAUUGCUAAGGCUUCCAUAAACUUGCAGCAUGACAAUGGUGAUAGGUGCUGCUAAGUCUGCCUCACAGUGCUCGUGCACUUGGGGAAGCAGCAGUGAGGCUGGAGCCCUGCUUUAGCUGGAGGGAGUUGAUUCUAAAGACAGGGAGCUGAAGCUUGCCAUUAGCAUGUGAAGCCCUUUCCUGCUGGUUGGAAACAGCCCUUGAGCCCUUACUCCUUGGUGGCUGCAUUGACAGUGAUGUGCUGUCAGAGCUAUAAUUACAGGCCUUCUCUGUAGGAAAAAACACAGUCCUAGCCCCUUGCUAAGAUGGUUUUGAAGAGAGGCUUUCCAGGCUGAGCGGGGUGGAUCAGUAUUCACUGCAGGACUGAGCUGUACUGGUCUGAAGCCAUCAGCUUGCCCUUGGCACAGGGAACCCUAUUGCAGGGGAGCAGUGUCCUGGGCACAGGAGGCACUGUUUUGUUUGGAGACACAGCAUGGGUUUGUUGGGAAAGUACUGGCUGGGAACAGAGAGGCGCAGAGAGCAGUGAGGGCAUGCCAAGCUGUGUCCCUCAGAGCAGGGGACAGGGACAAGGCCUGGCUUUUCUGAAGUCUUCCUUGAUUUUGUGUUAGUGAUGUGUUUUCUCUCAGGCUUUAAUAUCCCCAUGGUGUUUGCAGCACAAAAGGGAAGAGUAACCUCAGGUUAAGUGGGAUUUGAAAGCUGUGGCAGUGCAUUUUGAACCAAAUCUUGAGUUCGCAUCGUAAUAUCUUGGUCCAAAAUGUGCAAAGCCAUAAGAUUUAACCAAGUCAGAAGGUAAAGUUCUGCCCCAGUCCUGACGGUGCUAAAACAAGUUACACAAGGGAAAAGGACUUUAGACAACAAGACUUUGUAAAUGAGUAAAAAACGAGCAAAUGUUUGCGAGUUGCAUUGUGUAAGCACUUCUGACAGGGGCUGUUUGGAGGGCUUGUAUAGUAAACUAUGCUCUGAGAUGCAGCUGCUCAGAGCUUUCCUCCUGGCUUUAAUAACCCACUUGGAAUCUGGCCUGUGUUACUUCACUUCCAAGCAGAGCAGACAUCUAGGCAGACCGAGGUACAUUUCCUACAGUUCAACCCUGUAAAACCUUGCUGCAAACACCCUGAAUGCCCUGCUGCUUCUUGCUUGCCUGUAGCACAACCCAAGUGUUCCAGGUGCUGAGGGAUGGCAGCAGGAGCUGUGCACCCCAGCACUGGCACCCUGAGAUGGCUUUCUGCAAGGCUGCCAUUCUCAGACACAGCUUGGGGUUUUCCAGCCAUCCCCUCUGUGGGGACAGGACAGCUGAGAGGGCAAAUACCUCCUCCUUCUCUCCAGCUUGUGAAAUGCAUGCUGCUCGAGGGAGGAGUGCAGAUUUGCGGGGGCUCAGCAGGAUUUAUGCCUUCCAAGAGAGUGCAUUGACCCUGCUUUAAAAGCCAGUUACAGAAGGUAACUGCAGAUCAUGAGAGUUUCAACCAAAUCUGUGGUUAGGGGAUGACUAAACCGCAUCCGAGCGGCUCAGCUGCAGCCUUGUUCCAACCUGGGGUCGGAGCACUGCCCGUGGGAAACCUUUCCCCAGUGCUGGGAAGCCGGGUGCCAGCAUCACAUGCACUGACACAAAGGGAUGAAAGGGUCCCUCGCUGCCGGAGCGGGGCAGGGGCAAGGGCAGCAGCCUGUGCUCUGGGCUCCUUACUGCUGCUGCUCCCCGCUGCUGGCACUGCCUGCCCCGACCAUUCCCACACUUGGAAGGGCCCCGAGCGCUGUGUGGGCGGCCCUGCACUGCCAGCACUGCCUUACCUCAUGUUUUCCUUCUUGCUUUCCGGGAAUGCUGGCCAUUAACUGAGUUUAACCCCACAGAUGUGCAAAAGGAAGGAGGCCGGCUGGGCUCUGGGGGCUCCGAGCUCCAUGCCUUGCUGCUGGGAUGGUGCUCCAGCAGCGCAGUCUGCGUGCUGGGGAGAAGCGUGGGGUGCUCAGGGAAUGAGCAGGACUUGUUUGAGCUUCAGUAAUGUCAGGGACGAGUCUCUGGAAAGCACACAUCUUGCCAGCUCCCAGGGCACAGUCCCAGCCAGGAAUGUCUCACUGCUGGCACAACCAAGAGUUGCUUCCUGCUGACCGUUUCCUGCAAACCUGAUCACUGCUGUUGGGAUCCACCUGUGGCCGUGUCACGUCAGGGCAGCUCCUGAGGGCCCGUGGCCUCAUCCCCGUGUUUGUGCUCUGCAGGAUUGCUCACCGACAGAGAAUUGUUUACGUGCACCACAGCCAGCAAUAGGCUUCUCCAUAGCUCAGGACUUUAUUCAAAACAUCGUGUACUUAAUGACGAUAGGUUCUGCUUGAUAGGAAUGUAGCCUUUACCCUUGCUCAGAAGAGCUUGCAGUGCAGAUGGACUUUGCCAGGCAGAAUGCUCUUGUACUCCUACAGCCAGAUUGGAGGAGGGCAGGGAGAAGUCAUCUGAUAACAACUACUAUCCUGGCAGCUCUUCCAGCCAGAUCUGUUGCAUACGAUUGCCAAGGGGCCCUGCUAAGAACAUCCUGUGUCGGAGGUGGAGGAGACCCUUCUCCUUCUCUUGUGUAAUAGUCCGUCGUAGGGAACUGUAUGGACAGGAGCUCCCCGGGCCAAGCCAUGCAGGUGCCUGACCACAACGGGCUGGGAUACCCAGCACGGC